GGUGGUCUAGUGGUUAGAGCGUCCGCCUCAGAUACGGGAGGUCGCGGGUUCGAUCCCUGGCUAAACCA